GUGCUUACUUCGACAACACAUAACUAAAAUUGGAACGAUAGAAUAUUAGCAAGGCCCCUGGGCAAGGAUGACACUCAAAUUUGUGAAGUGUUCCAUAUUUUU
ensembl:snRNA U6 U6 spliceosomal RNA